UACGGAGGGUGCAAGCGUUAUCCGGAUUCACUGGGUUUAAAGGGUGCGUAGGUGGGCAGGUAAGUCCGUGGUGAAAUCCCUGAGCUUAACUCGGGAACUGCCAUGGAUACUAUUUGUCUUGAAUAUUGUGGAGGUAAGCGGAAUAUGUCAUGUAGCGGUGAAAUGCUUAGAUAUGACAUAGAACACCAAUUGCGAAGGCAGCUUACUACACAGUUAUUGACACUGAGGCACGAAAGCGUGGGGAGCAAACAGG
rnacentral:rRNA from 1 species